GUUUUUUAUGAUUUGCUCCUUUUUCUUUUCAUUUUGAAAAGAAUUUGUAGGAUACAAUAGUCACUAAAAAUAAUUCCUUUAAUCCUCAUUCUAUUUUAUUCCCCAAGUUUACUUUUUAAAUGGGAAAGAAAAUUUUAUUUUGCUUAUUUCAAAGCUGAGCCCUCAGUAGAAACAAAAUGCAAUCUGAGUGGCAGAUUCUGGUUCUGUUGUCUUUGUAUUAAACUGAUAAGAAAAUGGAAUGGGACUGACAUUUGUAAAGUAGCCUGAAAAUUUCAUUCCGCAAAAACCGAGGCUGUGACUUGGAAGAAUAUGAAUGAAGAGCAUAGAGUUAAGAGCCCUUAAGGACAUGGAAUGAUUGCAUUUCAGCUCCGUGGGUCAUCUACAGCACGACUCCAGGGGCAUUAGCAAUGUAUAGAGAAAAGAGGGCCCUUGCCAAGAGAAAAGCAGCAGGAAGAUUGGUGGGGUGGCUUAAUCUUGCGCAGAAACAAAAAGUACCUGCUGACCCCGAGUCCACUGAGAAAUAAAAGGAUCAAAAUGAUUUAAGGAGGGAGCAGGGCAACUUCAAGAUGGGCUCAAAUACCACAUUUAAACUAAUUUCUUCUGUUCCACAGACCAACCAUGCCAUCCGCAGACCCACAGGGUGAUAAAACUGAAAGGACCUGAUAUUCACAAAACCUGAAUGAAAUUAUUUGUCUUGCUGUUUGCCAGUUGUCCUAACUUGAGCAGUCAACCUAUACUCUGUGGAUCUUGAUUUUCUCAUCUGUAAAAUGUUUGAGUGGAGACUGCGACCUCUUAGCAUGUAUGAGCAAGAACUUUCACACUGGUAGAGAUAUUUGCGUGGACUCUGUCCAAUUUCCCAGCCAUAUUUGGAUGAGACACAUGAAGAAAAAUGGACUUGUGAGGAAUUCUACCUUCAGACACCUGCUCAAUUCCAUGGCAUCUGGGAGAAGAAGAUGAAAGCAUUAUUUCUUGACAGCCACCUAGAUUCCAACAGCAUCAUGUAACAAAUGGUGCUAAGUUAUUCAGGACCCAUGAAUCAACACUUAUUCAUGAAGGCAAUGUUUUAAACCUCAGUGGUCAGAAAAUGUUUGAGAUUUGAAAUAGUUGCUUGAGGUUGAGGCAGAGAGUAACAAAGAAUACUAAAAUUAUCAAAGAAACACCAAAAACAAAUCAAUAGCAUCUAAAUGAUCUUUAACUUCAUAGCUGGUACUAUUUCUGUCCCCUUUUUGCUUCCUAAUAGAAGUUUUUUUUUUUUUUUGGUGAUUUGGUUCUAUUAAGUUCAAGGACAUUUAAGAGAGUAGUAUGAUUAUGAUUAGAGGUACAAGCAUGACCAGAAGCACAAGUUAAUUUAUAAGUGAUUGAAUGAAAAUAAUUUUGUGAGAAAUAAGAAUAGGUUCUUUUGGUUUAUAUUUUUGGCAUGCUUUCUUUUACCAUUUUAAAGAGAUCUUCCCAAGAGAAAAUGCAUUGCAGAAAUACAUAUUUGUCACCUAUUUAGAAAUGACAUUCAUUUAUUUGAAAAUGGGCCACUAUAAACUAGAUAUAUAGAGAGGUCAAAUUUAAUAAACAGAGGUAUUAAUGUGAAUAGAAAUGUGCU
rnacentral:lncRNA from 13 species